rnacentral:misc_RNA from 1 species
CCCUAGCCCAGAUAGGAACGGUUACCCCACAGCAAGAAGUUGGAUCUGAAAGAAUGCGUCGGAGCGAGGAGUAUGAGUGGAUAGCUGGAAAUAGC